rnacentral:rRNA from 1 species
AUACGUAGGGUGCGAGCGUUGUCCGGAAUUACUGGGCGUAAAGAGCUCGUAGGUGGUUUGUCGCGUCGUCUGUGAAAUUCCGGGGCUUAACUCCGGGCGUGCAGGCGAUACGGGCAUAACUUGAGUACUGUAGGGGAGACUGGAAUUCCUGGUGUAGCGGUGAAAUGCGCAGAUAUCAGGAGGAACACCGGUGGCGAAGGCGGGUCUCUGGGCAGUAACUGGCGCUGAGGAGCGAAAGCAUGGGUAGCGAACAGGAUUAGAUACCCUGGUAGUCCAUGCCGUAAACGGUGGGCGCUAGGUGUAGGGGUCUUCCACGACUUCUGUGCCGUAGCUAACGCAUUAAGCGCCCCGCCUGGGGAGUACGGCCGCAAGGCUAAAACUCAAAUGAAUUGACGGGG